CCUACGGGAGGCAGCAGUGAGGAAUAUUGGUCAAUGGGAGGAAUCCUGAACCAGCCAUGCCGCGUGCAGGACGACGGCUCUAAGAGUUGUAAACUGCUUUUGUACCGGGGUAAAAUGCUCUACGAGUAGGGUUUUGAAGGUACGGUACGAAUAAGGAUCGGCUAACUCCGUGCCAGCAGCCGCGGUAAUACGGAGGAUCCGAGCGUUAUCCGGAUUUAUUGGGUUUAAAGGGUGCGUAGGUUGUUUUAUAAGUUAGCGGUGAAAUACCGAUGCUCAACAUCGGGGCUGCCGUUGAUACUGUAGGACUAGAGAUCGGAUGCAGCAGGCGGAAUGUGUAGUGUAGCGGUGAAAUGCAUAGAUAUUGCACAGAACACCGAUUGCGAAGGCAGCUUGCUAGGCCGGAUCUGACACUGAUGCACGAAAGCGUGGGGAUCGAACAGGAUUAGAUACCCCAGUAGUC
rnacentral:rRNA from 1 species